rnacentral:snRNA from 1 species
ACAUAUUAGCCUUUUGGCUCAGAUCAAGUCCAGUAUUUGUUCGUAUCAGUUUAAUAUCUGACAUGUACCACAUUGUUGUACCUGUGGGGAGCGGCAGUGUAGUGGUUAGCGUUAUGCGCUAUGUGCCCAGCGACC